rnacentral:siRNA from 1 species
UGAACCGACUCGGUAUCCACGGGU